UCUCUAUGCGGUGCCAGCAGCCGCGGUAAUACAGAGGUGCAAGCGUUAAUCGGAAUUACUGGGCGUAAAGCGCGCGUAGGUGGUUCGUUAAGUUUGGAUGUGAAAUCCCCGGGCUCAACCUGGGAACUGCAUUCAAAACUGUACGAGCUAGAGUAUGGUAGAGGGUGGUGGAAUUUCCUGUGUAGCGGUGAAAUGCGUAGAAUAUAGGAAGGAACACAGUGGCGAAGGCGACCACCUGGACUGAUACUGACACUGAAGGUG
rnacentral:rRNA from 1 species